UGCCCAAUGCGGGAAUCGAACCCGGGUCGUAAUGGUUGAAAACCAACAGUUUAGACCAUCCUUCCUAUAUAUUUAACUUGACAACUGAUAUUGGUC